UAUUGCGCAAUGGAGGAAACUCUGACGCAGUGACGCCGCGUAUAGGAAGAAGGUUUUCGGAUUGUAAACUAUUGUCGUUAGGGAAGAAAAAAGACAGUACCUAAGGAGGAAGCUCCGGCUAACUACGUGCCAGCAGCCGCGGUAAUACGUAGGGAGCAAGUGUUAUCCGGAUUUAUUGGGUGUAAAGGGUGCGUAGACGGGAAAUUAAGUUAGUUGUGAAAUCCCUCGGCUUAACUGAGGAACUGCAACUAAAACUGAUUUUCUUGAGUACUGGAGAGGAAAGUGGAAUUCCUAGUGUAGCGGUGAAAUGCGUAGAUAUUAGGAGGAGCACCAGUGGCGAAGGCGACUUUCUGGACAGUAACUGACGUUGAGGCACGAAAGUGUGGGGAGCAAACAGG
rnacentral:rRNA from 1 species